rnacentral:rRNA from 1 species
CCUACGGGCGGCAGCAGUGAGGAAUAUUGGUCAAUGGGCGAGAGCCUGAACCAGCCAAGUCGCGUAAAGGAUGACGGCCCUACGGGUUGUAAACUUCUUUUGUCAGGGAGCAAUUGGGUCCACGCGUGGGCUUAGCGAUAGUACCUGAAGAAAAAGCAUCGGCUAACUCCGUGCCAGCAGCCGCGGUAAUACGGAGGAUGCGAGCGUUAUCCGGAUUUAUUGGGUUUAAGGGGUGCGUAGGCGGAAUAUCAAGUCAGCGGUAAAAAUUCGGGGCUCAACCCCGUCGUGCCGUUGAAACUGAUGUUCUGGAGUGGGCGAGAAGUAUGCGGAAUGCGUGGUGUAGCGGUGAAAUGCAUAGAUAUCACGCAGAACUCCGAUUGCGAAGGCAGCAUACCGGCGCCCAACUGACGCUGAAGCACGAAAGCGUGGGUAUCGAACAGGAUUAGAUACCCCAGUAGUC